UUCUUCUCCCUGCCGAAACUCUCACCCAACCCUUCUCGCGCCGACGCCUCCCCCUCGCGCCUCUCUCUGCCCUAACCGCCGGCCACGGCGGUUACCUUCUCCCUCUCCUGGACAGCGACGCUCCUCUUCACUGCCGUCGGGACGCCAAGCGCCACAGCACACAGCCGACGCCGCCGGAGUACAGCCGACCCAGCGACGCCAUCCUUGUGCCCUAGCGAGCCGCGAGCCUCCAUUUUGUUCUUCUCUCCCGAGCCCUCACAGCACUGACGAUCUUCCUUCCUACGACGCCAAUCGCCGGCAGUGCAUGUCAUCCGCCUUGGUGCCCUAGCAUCUUCGCCGGCCAAUUUCUUCUCUGCCGUAGUCGUCUCCACCACCACCACCUAUUCGACUGAUUUCUAUGCCCUAGUUUUGGGUUCACAGCCGUUCACGCCGAAGACUCUCUUCUCCUCUCUUCUAUCGAUGCUAUCUUCACCGGCCGACGAGAGCCAACCGAGGGUAGUCGUUUCUCUACACUGGUUCUCCUCUGAUAACCUCUGUUCUAGCCACAGUAGCGUGCCCUAGUCGAUCUUGGGAGGUCAUAGAUUUGGUGAGGAAGUGGGGUUGUAGUGUUAUUUGAUCAGCAAUAGAGGACCUUAGUCCACAGAGGUGAGGACUGUGAAUUGAAGGAAGAAUUUCAGCGGGUUUUUGUGUGCUGUGGAUCAAGAUACAAUUGCUUGUUCAAAUUCGGCAGCAAGCCACCUUUCACCGCAGUCACUUAGCUGUGAAUUCAGUGGGCGAUUGGUUCGAAGUUGUUGGAUUCCAGCCACCACAGCAUAGAAUGACUGGUUAUUUUCUUGAUCACCAUUUUGAUUAGAUCAGUGACUUUGACGCGAGACGAGUAUCUCGGAGUCAGAAUUGGACCUUUCUUUUGUCGGAGGCGG